rnacentral:misc_RNA from 1 species
AAAAAAAAAAAAAAAAAGAGAAGGAUUAAUUAAAUCCAAGACAUAGCAAAGGAAGCUUCCUGUUCAAUCUAAAUACUAUAUAAAGUAAACAAAACAAAUGACAAUUCAACUUUCCUGGUUUUAAAAAAGAAAGUACAAUUCAACUUGAGAAACAGCAAACAAAUACCAAUAGGAUUGAAUUACUUCCUCAAAAAACAAUCUUUUGAUCCAAAGAUGGGAAGGAUGAGAAAAGCUCAACCAGGAGACUUGUAGCUGGCUGUGCCCUAUAAAUGAGACAAUGAGAAGAGCAAAAAGCAGUGCAAGCAACUGCAUAAACAUUGCUUUUUGAUGGCGUUGCCAGGGAACCUCAGUGCACAAACUCCCUCCCCCAUUGAUUGGUCAUAACAAAGUAGCCUCACUUGUUUUAUUUGGAAGCAAAUCAAUCCAAUUUUCAACUAUACCAUCACUACUAGAAUUGUGAUAAAUAGAGCAAUAAAGUACCCCUCCUUUGUUUUUUCUGCAUAAUACAUUUGACAACAAAAAGAGACUAGGAAGCAAGAAACUAAUGCAACUAGACAGAUUGUUAUCUUACCAAUUUAACAAAUUAAAACCAAAAACGUUGAUUUAUUCCCAAAAGUUUGCUUCCAAUUUACAAACGCAAUUCAAUACAAAAACCUAUCCAGAAACGCCAAAAUACUAAACAUUAUCACUACCUGAUUAUGAACUAAAAUUAAAGUCCCUCAACAAAAUAAACACAUUGUUUAAAACUCUACCGGAUUAUAUAUAUAAAAAAAAAGCAAGUUAAUUAAAACACAAAAACAAUUUAGAACAUAAAAACCCUCACUCUGAUAGGCAAGGCAGCAGAAAUGUGAACGGAAUUAGAUUUAGAAUCAGCGGA